rfam:Danio rerio chromosome 4, GRCz11 reference primary assembly.
GCCUGGCUAGCUCAGUCGUUAGAGCAUGAGACUCUUAAUGUCAGGGUCGUGGGUUCGAGCCCCACGUUGGGCG